rnacentral:rRNA from 1 species
GAUGAACGCUGGCGGCGUGCCUAAUACAUGCAAGUCGAGCGAACAGACGAGGAGCUUGCUCCUCUGACGUUAGCGGCGGACGGGUGAGUAACACGUGGAUAACCUACCUAUAAGACUGGGAUAACGUCGGGAAACCGGAGCUAAUACCGGAUAAUAUAUUGAACCGCAUGGUUCAAUAGUGAAAGACGGUUUUGCUGUUACUUAUAGAUGGAUCCGCGCCGCAUUAGCUAGUUGGUAAGGUAACGGCUUACCAAGGCAACGAUGCGUAGCCGACCGGAGAGGGUGAUCGGCCACACGGGAACUGGGACACGGUCCAGACUCCUACGGGAGGCAGCAGUAGGGAAUCUUCCGCAAUGGGGGAAAGCCUGACGGAGCAACGCCGCGUGAGUGGUGAAGGUCUUCGGAUCGUAAAACUCUGUUAUUAGGGAAGAACAAAUGUGUAAGUAACUAUGCACGUCUUGACGGUACCUAAUCAGAAAGCCACGGCUAACUACGUG